UAUUUUUUUUAAUAAUUUCAUUUAUUAAACAAUUGUAUAUAGCCUGAUGGACCUGGACUGAAAAACGGGUGAAAACCAGGGGACAUGACAAACUUCUUUUUUUACAUUUUUUUUUAAUUUUAAUUUUUUUUUAUUUAUUCAAAGCAUAGAUUGGAUAUACAGGCACACAACAAUGCUAAAAAGUUACGAUUUCUGAAAGAUUUUAAUCAUUAUAUUUCAUAGUAAAAUUUAGAGAUAGAGAGAAUACAUGCAGAAAAUGCUAUAUUUUUAGUUCUAGGUAGUUGUUAUUAAAAUUUUUAAUUAUACACUUUAAACGUGUAGUCUGCUUAAUCUGCAGGACAUUUCCAUGCAUGUACACAUGUCCUGGGGACAGUAAUGUCACUCUUUCGGUGGAAUAACUCAUACAGCAUCGCACCAAAACGAUUAUAUCAUUUGAUUUUUCAUGAUUUUUCAUAUUCCAUGAGAUAAAUUGAGUGCUGUAACCCGGAUUUCUAUUAUGUUUUUGAUCUCAACAUUGGUGCUGUUUCUCUCUCGUCCUCUAGAUGGUAGAACACACACUCCACCCGCUAAGCGCAGAAGUGGACACACUUCCUGUGCUCGGCUCGCUCGGGUUGUUGAUGAUAAACAGCGAGCACGUAUGCUGAACGCAAUCUUUGACAUUUUGCCACAGAACCGAAUGACAACUAAUUUGAUUUAAAUCUUAAUUCAGUAUCUUGACGUUUUGCAGUUUGCCUCAAUAAAAUACUUCAAUACUGCUCAGGGCACUGAUGGAUUUUAUAAAAGAGUUUACCACAGUCAUGACAUUAAUGAUGUUGUCUGUCUCAUCACUACAUGCUGCUUAUCAGCUAUUCAAGGAUCACAGAGCUUCAUCGUUGGGCUUUCUCCUGAUUGGCUGCUCAUCUGCCCUUUCAUUCUUUUCUCCCAGUAACCAAAUUAUCAUGUCACUCCAGAAUGAUCUAGAAUGGGCAGGUGAAUCACUCGGACCUGUGCUUUCUACUUUUGAUUUCUUGUGGCUUAGUGACGACCACAUGACAGCCCGUAUCCUACUGAUUGGCUCCACUUUAUUCAUAAUGCUCUCUGAUUGGCUAACACCAGAUGGGUUGAUCAUUAUGUCACGCUGCUUGGCCUUUUCCACCCUUUCCUGUUCACUGACAGUGUGCGCGUUUGCUGAAAAUGCAGCAGGGGCGGUAGGGAGUGUUGCCCUCAGUCUCCCUUUAUUUGUUUCCCCAAGGAGCAGAUCUAGAUCUUUGGGUCCCCUCGUGAUACCCACAGAAGGACUCCUCAACUGGAUCUUUAAGGUCAUCAUGGCAUUAGGUUGCUGGACCACCAGGAAGGGCCUUACUAAAUACCUGCUUGAUUUGAAAGGCUGGGACUAGGGGACUUACUCUCAGGUUAUUAGCAGGUAUAUGUACAGUGUUUUACUGUUGCACAUAAAAGCCUUCUGUCUUAUAAGCUAACAACAUUAUAGUGUAUUAUAUUACAGAAACUGGAGUUUGUUUACAUCUAUUUGCAUAAUAGAGUUUAUUUAUAACCUAUUAAAUCCAUUACAGUGAGAUUGAGAGCUUCUAAAAUUCCUGAGCAAUGAAUACAUUGUUUAGCAUCAUCAUCAACAAUGUAAUCUUUUAUAAAGAAAGAAUGGGACUCUGUUUAAGUCAGUGUUGCCAUGUACCAAGAAACUUUGGUAAAUUUAAAGUAAAUUUACUUAUUGAUUUAGAUGUAUUUUUGUACAGUAUACAAAACAUUUUUUUUUCUUUUGUAAAAUGAUAUAAUUGCAAAGAUGUUUUCUGAAUGUCAAAAAUGCAACUUAACUUAGUUUAAUGUGUGUUUUUACAGAUUGCUAAAAGGCGAUGAAAAAAUAAGCAUGAAUGUACAUAGAAUUACUUGUAUUGACUGAGGACAUGUAAAUUUAAACAAUGAAGCACAAAAAAGAAACAGUGUAUGCUGUUACUAUAUACACUCACGACUCACCUAAAAGAUUUUUAGUAACACCAUACUAAAACUGUGUUUGACCCCCUUUCGCCUUCAGAACUGCCUUAAUUCUACAUGGCAUUGAUUUAACA